rnacentral:rRNA from 1 species
GACGAACGCUGGCGGCGUGCUUAACACAUGCAAGUCGAACGGUGAAGCUCCAGCUUGCUGGAGUGGAUCAGUGGCGAACGGGUGAGUAACACGUGAGCAACCUGCCCCUGACUCUGGAAUAAGCGCUGGAAACGGCGUCUAAUACUGGAUACGAGAAGGGUCCGCAUGGGCACUUUCUGGAAAGUUUUUCGGUUGGGGAUGGGCUCGCGGCCUAUCAGCUUGUUGGUGAGGUAAUGGCUCACCAAGGCGACGACGGGUAGCCGGCCUGAGAGGGCGACCGGCCACACUGGGACUGAGACACGGCCCAGACUCCUACGGGAGGCAGCAGUGGGGAAUAUUGCACAAUGGGCGAAAGCCUGAUGCAGCGACGCCGCGUGAGGGAUGACGGCCUUCGGGUUGUAAACCUCCUUCAGCAGGGAAGAAGCGAAAGUGACGGUACCUGCAGAAGAAGCACCGGCUAACUACGUG